AUUGAACGCUGGCGGCAUGCCUUACACAUGCAAGUCGAACGGUAACGGGCCUUCGGGUGCCGACGAGUGGCGAACGGGUGAGUAAUACAUCGGAACGUGCCCGAUCGUGGGGGAUAACGGGGCGAAAGCUUUGCUAAUACCGCAUACGAUCUACGGAUGAAAGCAGGGGACCGCAAGGCCUUGCGCGGACGGAGCGGCCGAUGGCAGAUUAGGUAGUUGGUGGGAUAAAAGCUUACCAAGCCGACGAUCUGUAGCUGGUCUGAGAGGAUGAUCAGCCACACUGGGACUGAGACACGGCCCAGACUCCUACGGGAGGCAGCAGUGGGGAAUUUUGGACAAUGGGCGCAAGCCUGAUACAGCCAUGCCGCGUGCAGGAUGAAGGCCUUCGGGUUGUAAACUGCUUUUGUACGGAACGAAAAGCCUUCUUUUAAUACAGGAGGGUCAUGACGGUACCGUAAGAAUAAGCACCGGCUAACUACGUG
rnacentral:rRNA from 1 species